GAAUCAUUAGGGGCAAAAGCAUGUAAGAUGGGGUGUGUUGAAAUUUGUAUCUAGAAAAUGCAAUGCAAGUGCUUUUUGGAGCUAGGAUCUAUAUAUAUUUGGAAUCUUUUUCUGUGAAUAGUAAGGAUGGGCAGGGUAAAACUAAAGAUAAAGAGGUUGGAGAACACCAAUGGCCGCCAAGCAACAUAUGCUAAAAGGAAAAAUGGAAUUAUGAAAAAAGCUGCUGAAUUAUCUAUAUUGUGUGACAUAGAUAUCAUACUUCUCAUGUUUGCGCCAAAUGGAAAGCCUUCGGUAUGUAGGGGGAGA
rnacentral:sRNA from 1 species